UGUCAUAUUUUUAUUUUUUAUUUUUAAUUUUAAUCGGUGGGCCCCAUAUUUAACUACCUAAAAUCCUCCUUUAGUUUUGGGAUAUUUCCAAAAUCGUAAGAACCCUAAAUCGAUACUAGGGUCGCAAAAAUUGAGAGUUUCUUUCGUAAUUUCUUUGAAUUAUUAUAUGGUUUUCCUGUGUUCUUAAAUUUCGAGUAGAGGCAUGAGUUUCAAUUCUGUUUCUGGGUCUGGGUCAACCUCGUGGCGCGGUCGAUGGCAGUUUGAGAG
rnacentral:lncRNA from 1 species